AGUCUCACUUUACCCAUUCUUUAGUCUUCUAGACUUCUGCGUUCUUCUUUCCUCGCACAAGUGAGACUGUUCUUGGCCGAUCCCCUUUCUCCUCUCGUCUUAUUUUUUUUCUUCUCAGUUAAAAUUUGCUGAUGUUGGAUAGCUCCCAUCAGGUUGCUCUUUUGAUUCACUGCAUUCAAGAUGCUCGUCCUAACCUGAAGCAACACCUGCACCUGAUGCUUUGACAGGGUGACCAUCGACGGCAAUUGAGGGUUAGCAGGGCCCAAGGAUUUACUGCACCAGGGAGUAGGCGAGAUCAUCGAUUUGGACGCUUCCGUCGAAGUUGUCGUCCGUGCAGUUGAUUUGGUCGUGGAUGUGGAUUUCAUCUCCCGUAGGCCUGCAAUGGCAACAUUGUUCCAAGUUGAACUGCAUUGGGCCAUUACAAAUUUGCCACGCUUGAAGAUGCGGAAAUGCAUGGGCGGGUGGUCUUUAUAAUCACUAAGUUAGUGAAGAAAGUGGCAGACCUAGAAAUUGUGGUUUGCUGAGGCAACGGACGCCGAUAAAGAUCAAUGUAGUCGUUGUACAGGGGAGUACCCUGCCCCGGCACUUGAGACGUUGGUCAUUUGCCCCAUUUGUUACAGUGGGCAUCUUGUGCAUCACCAUGCGGUGUGUGUUGACGAUGUACAUGAUUUCUACUCUGCCGAACAUCCAAGCCAGCACCCAUCUAGAAGUUUUAUAGCAGAAGGUGAUAUCAUAUUUGUGACAUGAAGAGUAAGAGAGCCACAUGUCAAUCAUAAGGAGAUGGAGCUGCUGGCAUUAUGACAGGAAACCACUAUUAGCAUCUGAGGUUGAUCAAACAUGGAAGCCAUCUAUAGAGCAACAUCCAUGGCAUUACCUUCUGUAGAUGGGUAAAAAGUAUGAAGAACCUGACACCAUUAAGACAUGAAGCCACACCUAUAGGAUUCUAUAUAAUCAACUUUCUGAGAUAGAACUUACUUAAUGUUGCCUAAUUGCUCGAUGGAGCUGUCUUGUGGCCGCUGGAGGAAGACAACUCCGAAGUGCUAAUUCUGAAGUUGAUCUCGAAGUUUGAGUCGCUGGAGGAAGAUGAUGUGGGAGGAAGAUGAUGUAGAAGUUGUAACCUAAAAUCUUUGGACAAUGAACCUAUGAGGUCAUGGGGAAGGUUUAUAUGGAUGGUUAAGUUUCUCAUGUUUGCGGGAUGGAAAGAACGUUUUUUUGGAUCCCGUCUGGACACAUAUUCUAUUUGGAGAGAGAUAUGAUAGUUUUGGUUUGUUUCGGCACAUUAGAACUUUUUUUUCUGGGAUGGCCUCAUCGUUGUAGUUUCUUUGAGAAAAGCUGAUGGCAUGGUCCAUCCUGUAUGCGUGUGAUGGCCCAACCUGUAUGUUUUUUAUUAUUUAAUGAUGCAUGAUGCAUGCGUGUUUCUGAUCCCUAAGGAUGGUCCACCCUAUUGGGGUUGUGG